GUAGGGGGCAAGCGUUAUCCGGAUUUACUGGGUGUAAAGGGAGCGUAGACGGCAAGGCAAGUCUGAAGUGAAAGCCCGGUGCUUAACGCCGGGACUGCUUUGGAAACUGUUUAGCUGGAGUGCCGGAGAGGUAAGCGGAAUUCCUAGUGUAGCGGUGAAAUGCGUAGAUAUUAGGAAGAACACCAGUGGCGAAGGCGGCUUACUGGACGGUUACUGACGUUGAGGCUCGAAAGCGUGGGGAGCAAACAGGAUUAGGUACCCUGGUAGUCCACGCCGUAAACGAUGAUUGCUAGGUGUAGGUGGGUAUGGACCCAUCGGUGCCGCAGCUAACGCAAUAAGCA
rnacentral:rRNA from 1 species